rnacentral:SRP_RNA from 1 species
GCCGGGCGUGGUGGCUCACGCCUGUAAUCCCAGCACUUUGGGAGGCCGGGGCGGGUGGAUCACCUGAGGUCAGGAGUUGGAGACCAGCCUGACCAACAUGGUGAAAUCCUGUCUCUA